UUUCCUGGGGUGUUCCCCUCGGUUCUUCCCUCCACUAAUCCUGUAGGAACCAGUUCCCAUGCCCUCCACGGGGAGACCUCCCUGACCCCGUUCCCCAGCCAGGUUCCGCCACUCCACCUCCGUAACACCCGGAACCUUGCCUUAUAGGCAUUUAUCAUCAUUUUUCACUAGCGAGUGUUGUUCACUUGUGUUCAGGCUGUGAGAUCAGAAAGGACAGAAACCUGCAGCUUGUUGAUGGUUAACUGGAGAUACGAAUCUUCUACUUUCCUGCCUGGACUGGCUUCAAACCAGGAUCCUCAGAUCUCAGCUUUCUAAGUAGCUAGGAUUGCAGGUGCAAGCCACUGGUGAACCCAAUUCUUUAUGCUUUCUGGCCUAUGAAAGGUUCACCUGGGUUAAUUCUGCCAGCACUAACCAUGGUUCUGCGUUCACAGACUAGCUGCUGAUUCAUCCCUAGAGGAAACCACGGUUCCCUAGCAAGGCAUCAGAGCUUGACAGAUAUCCUCAAACAGCAGAUGAGUUUUGACAGAAAGAGCACAGGCCUCAGAAUC